rnacentral:tRNA from 1 species
GGGGUUGUGGCUCAGCAGUAGAGCGCUUGCCUAGCAUGUGUGAGGCAUUGGUUUCAAUCCUCAACACCA